AACGGGUGAAAGUUCCGUCAUGGUAGAAGCCAAGCCAUGUAGCUUGGAUGGCAGAGGGUGAGGGAAACGUUAUCCUCUGAAGCCCAUCGACAAAGUGCCGUUAAGCGGUAUGAGCAAAUAUCCGGGUCG
rnacentral:ncRNA from 1 species